rnacentral:lncRNA from 1 species
GGGCAAAUGUAUUUUUACAUAUUUUAUUUUGAAGAGAAACUACUUCCAAAAGUUGUAUCUUGGUAGAACAUGAUUUUACAAAUUUUCUGGAAUUUAUUUGGACCAAUUUGGAGUUCAAACUCAAAAGAUAUCAAAGAAAUGUGAAAAACAGAAAAAGAAAAGUGUAAAAGAAAAAAAAAGGGAGCAAAUGGACCGGCCCGGCCAUUUUGGGCCGAACCGGCCCAGUCCAACUGCGCCCGACCGCGCGCGCGCAGCCCGGCCCGCCCGGCCGCCCCGCGCCGCGCGCCCGCUGACAGGUGGGGCUCACCUGUCAGGGGCUUCUUCCCCAGAAGGAAAGCGGCCGCGCCGCCGCCGCGAUUCCCGGCCGCCGUCCCCGCGCGCCCGCCGCCGCAAUCUCCUCCUCCGGCCUUCCA